AGAGGGAACAGCCCAAGAUUGAAAGCUGGCGUCUUCGGCGUCCGCAUUGUAAUCUCAAGAAGUGUUUUCCGCUUCGGACCAUGCCUAAGUCCCUUGGAAAAGGGCAUCAUAGAGGGUGAUAAUCCCGUACAUGGCAUGGAGCGCCCGAAGCUUUGUGAUACGCUUUCUACGAGUCGAGUUGUUUGGGAAUGCAACUCAAAAUGGGUGGUAAAUGCCAUCUAAGGCUAAAUAUUGGGGAGAGACCGAUAGCGAACAAGUACAGUGAUGGAAAGAUGAAAAGAACUUUGAAAAGAGAGUUAAACAGUACGUGAAAUUGCCAAAAGGGAAGGGUAGGAGGUCAGAGAUGCGUCUUGGGAUUCACCCUUGCUUUUUGCCUGGUGUUUUUCCCAAGUUGCAGGCCAACGUCGGUUUUGGGCACUGGAGAAAGGUAGGAGGAACGUGGCACCUCUCGGGGUGUGUUAUAGCCUCCUACUGGAUACAGCGACCGAGACCGAGGAACGCAGCGUACUCUUAAGAGCGGGCCUUUUGGCACCUUUACGCUUAUGGCGUUGGCAUAAUGGCCCUCUACCACCCCUCUUGAA
rnacentral:rRNA from 1 species